UGAAAUACCACCCUUUAAUGUUUGAUGUUCUAACGUUGACCCGUAAUCCGGGUUGCGGACAGUGUCUGGUGGGUAGUUUGACUGGGGCGGUCUCCUCCUAAAGAGUAACGGAGGAGCACGAAGGUUGGCUAAUCCUGGUCGGACAUCAGGAGGUUAGUGCAAUGGCAUAAGCCAGCUUGACUGCGAGCGUGACGGCGCGAGCAGGUGCGAAAGCAGGUCAUAGUGAUCCGGUGGUUCUGAAUGGAAGGGCCAUCGCUCAACGGAUAAAAGGUACUCCGGGGAUAACAGGCUGAUACCGCCCAAGAGUUCAUAUCGACGGCGGUGUUUGGCACCUCGAUGUCGGCUCAUCACAUCCUGGGGCUGAAGUAGGUCCCAAGGGUAUGGCUGUUCGCCAUUUAAAGUGGUACGCGAGCUGGGUUUAGAACGUCGUGAGACAGUUCGGUCCCUAUCUGCCGUGGGCGCUGGAGAACUGAGGGGGGCUGCUCCUAGUACGAGAGGACCGGAGUGGACGCAUCACUGGUGUUCGGGUUGUCAUGCCAAUGGCACUGCCCGGUAGCUAAAUGCGGAAGAGAUAAGUGCUGAAAGCAUCUAAGCACGAAACUUGCC
rnacentral:rRNA from 1 species